GAGUACUUGAGGUUAGGGUCAGAAUUACAUUUUUAAAAAAUUAUUUAUUUAUUUGAAAGAUAAUGGAAGCACAAGCAAGAUGAGGGACAGAGGGAGAAGCAGAGUCCUUGAUGAGCAGGGAGCCUGAUUUGAGGCCAUAUCCCAGGACUCCAGGAUCAUGAUCUGAGUUGAGAGCAGAUGCUUAACCGACUAAGCUACCCAGGUGCCCCUGGUACAGGAUUACCUGAAAGGAUUAGAGGUGUCCAGUACUCACACAAGGCUGGGAAAAGUGUCUGUUCCCAAUAAUAAAACAAAAACUCCAGUUAUUCAUGAGGCAUUAGGUAGAGUACCGAGGAAUGUUUCCCCAGUAGAGGGGAAUAAUUAGCCCACAUUAAACACUGUUCUGGUCCUGCCUAAUAAUCCUUAAAAGUGAGAACUGAGUCAAUUUGUUUCCAAAUAACUGCAUCCCGGAUUAAAGUUCAAUAAGGCAAACAAACAACAACAACAAAAACAAUCCAGUACGCAACAGGUACAAUUCACUGCCUUGCAUCCGAUCAGAAAUUACCAACCUGUUGGUUUAACAUAUGCAAUCAAUAUGACAUAGCACAUUAACAGAAUGAAAGAUAAAAGCGACAUGAUCAUCUUGGUAGAUGCAGAAAAAUUAGUUGACAAAGUUAGUGUCCAUUAGUGAUAAAAACUCUCAUCAAAAUAGGCAUAGAGGAAAUUUCCUCAACACAAUAAAGACCAUUUGUGAAAAUUCCACAGGUAGUCUCAUUAUCAAUGGGAAAAAAACUGAAAUUUUUGUCUUUUGUACUUGGCCAAUACCAAGCAAAGAUCUUAUUCUCAGACUGGAAGUACUACAAGAGCAACUAGACCUGGUAUUUCUUAAAAAACAGCAUCCAAUCAAAAAGGAAGAAGUUAAAUUAUCUCUGUUUGCAGAUUACAUUAUUCUAUAUGCAAAAACCAUAAAUAAAAUACUCCAUUAGAAAUUGUUAGAACUAAUAAAUGGCUUCAGUAAAGUUUCAGGAUACAAAACAUAUAGAAAUAAGUCGCAAUUCUUUACACCAGCAGUGAGCUAUCUGAAAAAGAAGGAAAUCAAAAUUAUCCUAUUUAUAAUAUACCAUCAAAGUGAUGACUUAGAAAUGAUCUUAAACCAAGGAGGUCAAAGAUCUAUACAUUGAAAACUAUAAAACCUUUAU
rnacentral:lncRNA from 1 species